rnacentral:sRNA from 1 species
GUCUGGGGCCAUGAGCUCGAACUCCUUGGGAAUUAUAACCCCUGUCCCUAUUCCUGUCCACGUGCUCUCCUUCAGCGCUGACUCCUCUGCCAAAGCAGGGGUCUCCAAGGAUGCCAUCGUCACAGGCCCUGCCCCCGGGUCCUUCCACCAUGGCCUUGGCCACAGUCUUCUGGCUGGCUUGCACUCCAGCCCGCCCCAUGCAGCGCCUCUCCCACACGCUGCGGUGCCCACCCAUAUCCCGCAGAGUCUGCCAGGUAAUCACCCAACGGUCAGUGUGCCACGCGCACCGUGUGCCUUUGCCCUCUCCACCCCUAGGUGCUUUGCCCUGCCAAGGGUCUUGGUGUCUUUGCCUUGUCGCUGUUGUUGUUUUGGUUUGUCCUUUGAGGCUGUGCUUUGUCAGUACUCAGGGUGACACACACUUCUACUCUUGGGGUUUCCUCUGGUCCCCACUUGGAGCUGCCGCCAGGUCAGCCUCAGCCUGUGUGAUCACAGGGAAAGUUGCGGGUGGCAGGGUGGUGCGCUUUUGUGUGCGGUGGAGGAGUUCCUAACCCUCGGCUCGUUUUUUUCUCUUCAGUUAAAAAAAAAAAA